rnacentral:rRNA from 1 species
UGCCUACGGGGCGCAGCAGUGAGGAAUAUUGGUCAAUGGGCGGGAGCCUGAACCAGCCAAGCCGCGUGAAGGAAGAAGGCGCCAAGCGUCGUAAACUUCUUUUGUCGGGGAACAAAGGGCGCCACGUGUGGCGUUGUGAGUGUACCCGAAGAAAAAGCAUCGGCUAACUCCGUGCCAGCAGCCGCGGUAAUACGGAGGAUGCGAGCGUUAUCCGGAUUUAUUGGGUUUAAAGGGUGCGUAGGCGGGAUGCCAAGUCAGCGGUAAAAAUGCGGUGCUCAACGCCGUCGAGCCGUUGAAACUGGCGU